GAUGAAGAACGUAGCAAAAUGCGAUAAGUAAUGUGAAUUGCAGAAUUCAGUGAAUCAUCGAAUCUUUGAACGCACAUUGCGCCCGCCAGUAUUCUGGCGGGCAUGCCUGUUCGAGCGUCAUUUCAACCCUCAAGCACAGCUUGGUGUUGGGACUCGCGUUAAUUCGCGUUCCCCAAAUUGAUUGGCGGUCACGUCGAGCUUCCAUAGCGUAGUAGUAAAACCCUCGUUACUGGUAAUCGUCGCGGCCACGCCGUUAAACCCCAACUUCUGAAUGUUGACCUCGGAUCAGGUAAGAAUACCCGCUGAACUUAAGCAUAUCAAUAAGCGGAGGA
rnacentral:misc_RNA from 1 species